AAAUUGAAGAGUUUGAUCAUGGCUCAGAUUGAACGCUGGCGGCAGGCCUAACACAUGCAAGUCGAACGGUAACAGGAAGCAGCUUACUGCUUUGCUGACGAGUGGCGGACGGGUGAGUAAUGUCUGGGAAACUGCCUGAUGGAGGGGGAUAACUACUGGAAACGGUGGCUAAUACCGCAUAACGUCGCAAGACCAAAGA
rnacentral:rRNA from 1 species